rnacentral:rRNA from 1 species
CCUACGGGAGGCAGCAGUGAGGAAUAUUGGUCAAUGGACGAGAGUCUGAACCAGCCAAGUAGCGUGAAGGAUGACUGCCCUAUGGGUUGUAAACUUCUUUUAUAUGGGACUAAAAUGUUCCACGUGUGGGAUUUUGUAUGUACCAUAUGAAUAAGGAUCGUCUAACUCCUUGCCAGCAGCCGCGGUAAUACGGCGGAUCCGAGCGUUAUCCGGAUUUAUUGGGUUUAAAGGGAGCGUAGGUGGAUUGUUAAGUCAGUUGUGAAAGUUUGCGGCUCAACCGUAAAAUUGAAGUUGAAACUGGCAGUCUUGAGUACAGUAGAGGUGGGCGGAAUUCGUGGUGUAGCGGUGAAAUGCUUAGAUAUCACGAAGAACUCCGAUUGCGAAGGCAGUUCACUGGACUGCAACUGACACUGAGGCUCGAAAGUGUGGGUAUCAAACAGGAUUAGAUACCCUAGUAGUC